rnacentral:rRNA from 1 species
GAUUAACGCUGGCAGCGUGCAUAACACAUGCAAGUCGAACGAUGAAACUUUAAUGAACCCUUCGGGGAGAAUUAAAGCGGAUUAGUGGCGAACGGGUGAGUAACGCGUGAGUAACCUGCCUUACACAAGGGGAUAGCCUUUGGAAACGAAGAAUAAUACCCUAUAAAACCAUACAAGCACAUGCAAUUAUGGUCAAAGUGAUAGCGGUGUAAGAUGGACUUGCGUCUGAUUAGCUAGUUGGUGAGAUAAAAGCCCACCAAGGCAACGAUCAGUAGCCGGCUUGAGAGAGUGGACGGCCACAUUGGGACUGAGACACGGCCCAGACUCCUACGGGAGGCAGCAGUGGGGAAUUUUGCACAAUGGGGGAAACCCUGAUGCAGCGACGCCGCGUGAUUGAGAAGGCCUUCGGGUUGUAAAAAUCUUUUGUAUAGGAAGAAAAUGACAGUACUAUACGAAUAAGGUCCGGCUAAUUACGUG